GUGUAGCCUACACCUGCACCACAGCAGAUCUAACAGGGGACUCAGCGGUGUAACAUCUGAUUGAGGCUCUGCAGGGGCGGUGUGUGUUGUGUGUGUGUAGCCUUUUUACAGUAGAGCAGACCCGCCAUUUCCCUCCCUGGUGGUCUUUUUUUUCUUUCAUAGCGUUUUAAAGCGGAGCAGCGGCGGCAGCGGCGGCAGCGGCAAGAGGAGGGGAGGAGAAGAAGAAGCGGCGGCGGCGGCGGGCGGCGGCGACGACUGGCGGAGCGGCGGAGGCAGGCAGGCAGGCAGGCAGGCAGGAGGAGAGACGCAGGGAUCCGGUGUGCCACAUCGGGAUGAGAGCGAGAAACAGACCCGGGUCGGAUGAGUCAGCGAGUGGACCCUGCAAUCACGGCAUCCCUGAAAUUUGAACGAAGCCGAGCGGUGCAACAAAAAAGAAACAAACUAACAUUUUUUGACUGUUGUUGUUGUCAGAUUCCGCUUCUUUUUAUUCCGCCCUCCCCUGGCCCGCGUCUGUCAUAGCCUAGUUUUGAUUUUUUUUUCUUCUAACAUUACCAAGGUGGGAAAAGGUGGGGGUCCAUUAAGGUUGCGGAGGAGGUGGAGGUUUUAUUUUCUUUCUUUAUUCAAAGCCCGAAGAUAAACCCAGAAUUGCAAAGUCUUUUGUUGCAUUCAGUGUGUGAAGAUGUCGGGGCAGAGCAUUACGGACAGGAUAACUGCAGCCCAGCACAGUGUAACGGGAUCCGCCGUGUCGAAAACAGUAUGCAAGGCCACCACUCACGAAGUAAUGGGUCCGAAAAAGAAACAUUUGGACUAUCUGAUCCACUGCACCAACGAGAUGAACGUGAAUAUCCCCCAGCUGGCUGAUUCGCUGUUCGAGAGGACCACCAACACCAGCUGGGUGGUGGUGUUCAAGUCACUCAUCACCACACACCACCUCAUGGUCUACGGCAACGAGCGUUUUGUCCAGUACCUGGCUUCAAGGAAUACACUAUUCAACCUCAGUAAUUUUUUGGACAAAAGUGGGUUACAAGGUUAUGACAUGUCCACAUUUAUCAGGAGGUAUAGUCGAUACCUGAAUGAGAAAGCCGUUUCAUACAGACAGGUCGCCUUUGACUUCACAAAAGUUAAACGCGGAGUGGACGGCGUGAUGAGGACAAUGAACACAGAGAAGCUGCUCAAGACUAUCCCCAUUAUUCAGAACCAGAUGGAUGCCCUCCUCGAUUUCAAUGUCAAUGCCAACGAGCUGACUAAUGGAGUCAUCAACGCAGCCUUCAUGCUCCUCUUCAAAGACUCCAUCAGGCUCUUCGCUGCGUAUAACGAAGGCAUUAUCAACCUGCUUGAGAAAUACUUUGACAUGAAGAAGACUCAGUGUAAAGAAGGUUUGGACAUUUACAAGAAGUUUCUCACCCGGAUGACGCGGAUAUCCGAGUUCCUCAAAGUAGCGGAGCAGGUGGGCAUUGAUCGAGGAGACAUCCCAGACCUUUCACAGUUCACAGUUUGUGCUCCCAGUAGCCUUCUCGAAGCUCUGGAGCAGCACUUGGCGUCUUUAGAGGGCAAGAAGGUCAAAGACUCCACUGCAGCCAGCAGGGCCAGCACUCUAUCAAAUGCUGUGUCAUCACUGGCCAGCACGGGGAUGUCUUUCACUAAAGUGGAUGAGCGGGAGAAGCAGGCAGCUCUCGAAGAGGAGCAGGCUCGACUGAAAGCUCUGAAGGAACAGAGGCUCAAAGAGCUUUCCAAGAGGCCCUCCUUUGCCACCACUGAUACAUCACCGAUCUCCACCACUGGGGGCACUAUUAGCACAGCACCAGCCAUCGACCUCUUCUCUACACCCAGCUGCUCUAACGGUGCAGUGAAGAUGGAGAGUGACCUUUUUGAUCUGCAGUCAGGGUUCCAGCCCUCAAUGCAAUCAGCUUCAACAGGGCUUCCAGUGGCAACAGCGUGGUCAGAUCCUUUCACCUCUGCUGAAGCUGGAGAUGAAUCCAUGCCAAACCUUAACCCUUUCCUCUCAAAACUCGUUGUCGAUGCCACUCACUUACCUGUCGUGUCUUCAGACGGUGUUAGCUUUUCCUCUAGGACACCUGGUCAUGAAAUGUUUGGUGAUCGUUACAAUCCCUUUAUUGACACAAACUCAUCCGUUUCAACCAAUUACAAACGCACAGUGCGGAUAGAACACUCCAUCUCAGACUCCUUCUGUGGUCCAGUGUCCAUUGCCCAGCACCUCCCACACCAGGCUCCCUUCCCCACUGAGCCCUCUACUGUAGCAGGUCUAUUCAGAGGAUACUCGACGCCACAGGCUCCUCCACAACAGUCAGCAGGGGGACUCCAAGUGGACUUUGAGUCCGUUUUUGGAGCCAAGGCCGCAGGCAGCAACAUCCUCAAUUCUGAUGAUAUUUCUGGGGGCAUCCUGAAACCGACUCUCGCCGGCUCCAACCAGGCGCCCGGUCAGCUGCCAGAUAAGCUGGUGUCGGAUGACCUCGACUCCUCCCUGGCCAACCUUGUCGGCAACCUCGGCAUCGGGAACGGCAUGAUGAAAAAUGACAUGCACUGGAGCCAGCCGGGGGAGAAGAGGAUGACCGGCGGCACCAACUGGCAGCCCAAAGCAGCACCGAGCACGACCUGGAACCCUGUUUCCAUGCCAACGUCAGUCAUGGCCUUCCCUGCCACCACGCCCACAAGCAUGAUGGGAUACGGCAUGCCUCCACAAAUGGGCUCUAUGGGGAUGAUGAAUCCACCCACCAUGAUGUACUCCCAGCCGGUGAUGAGGCCACCCAACCCCUUUGGCUCCGUGUCGAGUGCUCAGGUGGGUGCACAGCCGUCCGACCACGCCGCCGAGCGGACGCACAAUGAAAUGCAGUUCAUGUAAUUUGAAGAAAUGUGUCUCUCGGAAGACGAAGCACUUAGCAGCAAAGCGUUGUCCUCGUUGCAGUCUAACUCUUCAGAAAAACAUUCACACACACACACACACACACACACACACACACACACACACAC